rnacentral:misc_RNA from 1 species
GAUGAAGAACGUAGCGAAAUGCGAUAAGUAAUGUGAAUUGCAGAAUUCAGUGAAUCAUCGAAUCUUUGAACGCACCUUGCGCCCUUUGGCUAUUCCGAAGGGCAUGCCUGUUCGAGCGUCAUUAUAACCCCUCAAGCUCAGCUUGGUGUUGGGGCCUGCUGCACUGGCAGCCCUUAAAAUCAGUGGCGGCGCCAUCUGGCUCUAAGCGUAGUAAUUCUUCUCGCUAUGGAGUCCUGGUGGAUGCUUGCCAUCAACCCCCAAUUUUUCUAUGGUUGACCUCGGAUCAGGUAGGGAUACCCGCUGAACUUAAGCAUAUCAAUAAGCGGAGGA